rnacentral:lncRNA from 1 species
AGAGAGAGAGAGAGAGAGAGAGAGAGAGAGAGAGAGAAGGAAAGAGUGGACCAAGAUAUAUACUAGUUCGGUGAUAUUGUCCUCGUAGGCACCUACGUCUAGUCUUCGAUGGUGAAGAAACGGAAUAUUCUUUCUUCCAUUAAUAUGAUAUUUGAGUUCGGUUCAUGUUACAAUAAUUCAGACAAGUAAAAGAUAAAUUAUAAUAAUCCAAUCUAUCUUCUUCCUUGCUUCUUAAUAGAACUUUCUUGCAACUAGAUACCACCAUUAAACUUUGAUCUUUAUCCAAGAUAUUGAUCUUCAACUUUUGAUGGAUUCUAGUCUUGAAAAAUUUCUCAAUCUUCACUCAAUCUUAAAAUUGCAAGCCUUGAAUCCUUCUCUUCAACAAGCUGACAGAUCCACAGAAAACUCCACUACUAUGAAGAAAAACUCCUUCUUCUUUUUCCUUCUAGAAAUUUCCAGCCUAUGAAAUUUCCAAGAUUAAAAUACCUUUUUGCAAAAAUCUACACACUUUAAUGAACAAUUAGAUCUCUAAUGUUUCCCCACAAUUAAUCAUCACACACACACAAGAAAAUGUUUUCCAUGAGCAUGAUUAAGAUGAAAACUUGAGAGAGAAAGAAGUUGUGUUUGCAAAGCUUUUUCUAACUGAAAAAAAUUUGAUCUCUUGUGAAAUGAAGAAAUGAAACCCAUAUUUAUAGGAACAAGAGAUAGUGCACAAGAAAUGAGUAAAAAAUAACUAAAUGAAUCUAUUCAUUAUUUCCAUGACUCAGUUCACUUAGGGAAGUUGACCUGAGUUGAGUAUGAAAUGAAUCAAUUUAAAUUCGCAUCCUGAAUCAAGUCGCAACCCUUACUCAAUCAAUUCAAUUUGGAAUUUUAGAUCUCUGACUCAUUUUAAAUUUUAUUCUGACUCGAUUCGAGCAAACAUAACUAAAAUCAACUUUAGAGGCACUUUCGUGAAUCGAUUCAUGAAGUCCUUGACUCGAUCGGAAGUCACAAAAAACUUUGAAUCAAAUAAGGAAAGCUUCUGAAUCAAUUUAUACAGCUAUGACUUUUAGUUAACUGAACAUAAUGCAUGGACAACCUUCUUUAACAUGUGUUUGAUGAUUAAUAAGAAAGAAAACUCAAAAUAAACAAUAAACGUAAAACAAAGCAUCAAAAUAAAAAAAAUCGAUAUGCUGAUAAAGAGCAAUUUCAGUCUCCCCUUUUUGAUGCUUGACAAUUUGAUUAAUUUUGAGUUACACUGGGUCAUGCUCCCCGUGCGUAAAAGACUUAAUCACACGAAUUACAAUUUCCAAACGAGAAUCCUUUCUCCCCUUUUGACAAAAUGAAAGAGGAAGAUGGAUAAAAACGAAAGAAAACAAAUUGUGAUAACACAUAAACAAUAACCAAAGCGGAAUCCAACACAAAAGAAAACUCAAAGCGCAUAAAAGAACAUCUCAAACAAUAUGCAAUUUCAGUUAAGUAAGAGAAAAUGAAGCUAACUAGCAAAGUUUAAGCAGACAAAGUGACAAGAGAAUUAUCCAAAUUACAACCCAAAAUAUAACAAAAUAGAAAUAGUUAAAUUAAAUACAAAGAUGUAAGAUGCAAAUGGAUGAUAUUUCGGUUAUAAUGAUGAAUGAGUAUGAGUGAUGAGAGAAAAGAACGAAGAUUAUGAAAUGAAGAGAGAGAAGAUGAAAUGUAAAUGAAAAUAGAAGUGAAAAGAGAGAAGACCGAAAAAAAUGGAAAAAAAAUCAAUACAAAAAAAUUGUUUUAUUAAAAUAAUGAAAUGUUUUUUUUUUAAUAUUUGACUUUAUGGUGAUUUGAAUUGAGAUGCUUUGAACUUUGAAUUGAAAUUAUCUACUACGUAAAUUAUUUUCAUGAAUUAAUGGAGUACUAUUAAUGGUGAAUGUAGUUAAUGCUUUUCAAUUUAAUUCACAUAUUUCAUGAAAUCUAACACAUUAGGUGAGAAUUAAAGGUGAUGUUUGAAAAAAAAAAGUGAUGUGUGACCAUUCUUU